CCUACGGGAGGCAGCAGUGAGGAAUAUUGGACAAUGGGCGCAAGCCUGAUCCAGCCAUGCCGCGUGCAGGAAGAAGCAUCUAUGGUGUGUAAACUGCUUUUGUACAGGAAGAAACACUCCCUCGUGAGGGAGCUUGACGGUACUGUAAGAAUAAGGACCGGCUAACUCCGUGCCAGCAGCCGCGGUAAUAUGGAGGGUCCGAGCGUUAUCCGGAAUCAUUGGGUUUAAAGGGUCCGUAGGCGGUUUAAUAAGUCAGUGGUGAAAUCUGGUCGCUCAACGAUCAAACGGCCAUUGAUACUGUUAGACUUGAAUUAUAAGGAAGUAACUAGAAUAUGUAGUGUAGCGGUGAAAUGCUUAGAUAUUACAUGGAAUACCAAUUGCGAAGGCAGGUUACUACUUAUGGAUUGACGCUGAUGGACGAAAGCGUGGGGAGCGAACAGGAUUAGAUACCCUGGUAGUCCACGCCGUAAACGAUGGAUACCUAGCUGUCGUAGCAUACUGUGUGUGUAGACGAAGUAGAUAAGUA
rnacentral:rRNA from 1 species